UAUGCUCUUCUAAAGUGGCGGACUUAGACUCCAAUCCUGAAAAAUGCUUCGGAAAGUGGCUGUGGUUCGCCCCACUACCUGUGGAUGUCAAGUGAUACAAGCAAACGUUUGCAGAACCAGGACCUGAGGUUGAAUCCUGUGAAGUGCUGAGAACCCUGAGUUCCCAUCGAUUUCAGUGGAUAUUGAGUGUGCUCAGCACAUUGCAGGAUCUGACCCACCUCAGAUUUUGAGGAGAAAGUCCUAACAGACUUGCACAUGCCUGUCCAUGUCUUACCCUUUACUGACGUCCUACCAAGAGGCAAACAGGGAAAGUUUUUUACCUGUGAUCUUGCUCUCACAUGAAAUUAUUUACUAAUAAUUUUGCUAUUUAAAGUGAGGGAAGAGCAAACCUCUCUGGCAUGAUCACUUCUUAUUGGAGGAUAAGAAAUCUGUUGCUACUUAUACCAUGGGCAACCACAUUUGCAUUAAUUGUUUAUCACAGUCUGGACAGACCUUUUAUUAAUAUUAAUGAGUAACUGGGAACAAAGGGCCCCUUUAUUUUUAGCCUACUCUAAUUGCGUAGUAAUUACUCAUCUACAAAACAAAUGAGCCGAACUCCAUCGCCAUGGCAACAGAAACUUCGGCCUCCCACUGUAACACAUUAACCGGCUAUCAUUUCUGUUAAUUUUAAAUUGAAGCCUUUUGUACAAUAACAGGCAGUGGAAGAGCCAAAUUAAAACAAAACUGGGACUUCAUUUUACUGAAUAUUUUAAUUCACAGUAGUAAUUCACAUUCUGCUCCUAAAGCAUCUCCUUCAUACACACACCUACCUAUGGAUCACUGUAUGGAAACAUGCAGGACUGUACAGAAAAGGGAAAGGAAAAAAACCCAUCCUCGUUCUAUGGAAGAUCAUCUUCUAGCAGGAGUUUACACAAGACACAGUGAAGGUCCGUAUAUCCAACGUUCAAUUCUACUUUCCCUGGCUUUUAUUAUCCCUUCAAGUUAAUGCCAAGUCAGAUGGAUACAAAAGUUUGCUGUAGUGAAAAGACCUCUCCUGUUUGGAUCACAAUACCACUGGAGCCACCACUUGGUAUGUGUCAAGAGAGGCAUCCUGGUAGCCGGAAUGAUCUCUGUGGACAACUGUUUUCCCAUUGAGAAUAAUUCCGCUGACUGAAAAAACCAUUAAAAGUUCGCUACUAUAUUCAUUAAAGAUUAACUCAUGCUGUACUUAAGUCUGUACUUCAGAGCUGGUCACUAAUUGCCCUGGAGAUGAUUUAUCAAGUGCACAGGGUUUUCUAUAACAAAGUUAUUGAUUAAAGCUGAUGUAUUUUAACCACAAUAGACUUCAAGCAGGAGCCCUGUAAAAUGACUAUAACCAAGGUCAGUGCCUGGCACAGCAGCAGAUUAUUUUAAAUGUGCUGAAAUUUUUAUAUGGCUCCGUAAGAGGUUCAGUCCCUCAAGGAUAAAUAAAACGUUUCCAACAAUAAAAUAAUAUAAACAGGUAUUUUGUGGGGUUUGAGCCCUGGAAGGCACUUCCAGGAAUAUGUUUUCUAUAAUGGCUUUGAAAUUAUCUUGGAUCAACGUAUGACUUUAGACCUAUAAUAGAAAUGAUUCUGCUUUAAUUCCCUUUUUAAAAAACGAAACAAAACAACCCCGCGUCCUUCAGGGAAGUAAUUGCAGAGCACAUAAAAUAACGAGGAGAAGAGAGGUGUCACUAACAAGGCCGAAAAAACACCUCUCAAGGAAAUGCAUGAUCUCAUCUCUACAGCCGUGUUGCACAUGCCUAGAAGAAAAUGGAGUAUUUCCGCUUCAGACGUGCUUAUUCAGCACAGAGUUUGGUUUCUUUUACUUCUAUUCCUAUAACAGGAGACAUUUUCCUUUUGUUUGCAUUCAACUGAUUAAUCCACAAGAUAGAAGAGCUCAUUUAACCUACUGGGAAUGGAGGAGUCCUACAGCAAGGACACACAUUAUGUAGGUACAAAAUGGUUGGGGUUCUUCCAUUUCAUGCCUUCUUCUCAGAGCAACAUUUUCAGACGCAGCCUUAAUAUUAUAAAGAUGAGCAAAGGAUAAAAAUCUUGACCAGCUGCUAAUUUUUAGAUGCAUCAACUCUGCAGAGUGUUCCAGUUGCCAGCCUCUGUCAAGUAAUUACUGGAUGUUCCAGUGGAGUGAGAAAUUUCAGCCUGCUUCCUUUUCCCAGAUGGUCUGCUUGUUAAAUUCUGG